GCUCCCUUCUCCCGUUCUCCUGCGGGAGGUCUUCACGUCUGACCGAAACUAUGAUAUCUAGAUCUAUAUGGUGACUAUGACUAUGAGUAAACUAAGUGACAGUCUACUAGAGUCUAGAUCUGAAUCUAGAUCAAGUAUUACAGUUAGACUACGGUAUUAGUGACAGUAAGAAAGCCAAAGUGCUGCCUGUAAUCCUGUAUUGUUGCAUGAUGUAGAAUCUUAGUGCAUCUAGAAAUCCAGUCCAUUCCUGUAUGAUUUAUGUAUAUGAUGAUCAAGUCAUGUAUAUUUAUCACAUAUGAUGUCAAGAUGAUGAGAUUUAUCACUACAUCUAGAUCUUAUUUAGCCUAUUUAAUACAAAAUAGUUAUUUUGAAAGAAUACUUAAGACAUCGUAAAAUAUGAAUAGAGCAAAUAUUUUUUUUGUUUUAAUGUUGUCAUUAUUUUUCAGUCAUUUUGCAGGAAACACUUUCCAUCCAUCCAUCCCAAUGGCACUACAGCCCAUGGAGGGCUUUAGCUGGGUUCAACACAUCCCUCCAUUCAGAUCUCUCCUUAGCCUUUUAUCUCCGUCACUAUCUGUGGGUCUUCAUACAAUUGAUAUAUCUCAUGUAUCUGCACUAUUCAACACAUUCAGAGAGGAAGCAGCAGCUUAAACUUCAAAAUUUUUGAGUCUUUCAAUUUUGCUGUUGUCACGUUCUCCACUGUUGGCUAUGGAGAUGUUUCCUCUGACAUUUGGCUGGGCUGACUCUUAAAGAUUCUAACCAUUGCCCUGGCAUUUGUUUUUAUACCUAGCCAGAAUAGAGAUGUAAUUCUGCUGUGUCCCCGUGAGUUGGAAACCAGUAAGCAAGUCUUCUAAUAGAGAUCUGAUAGAGUCAUGUACAUCAAGCAAUCAGCACUAAAAGAUGUGGACCUGAUGUGGUGUCAAGCUGAUGAAGCUUUUGCUUGCUUCUUUUGGCUGUUCGUUGAACACAAGACAAAGC